rnacentral:rRNA from 1 species
AUCGGCGACUUAUUGAGUAGACAGAUUAAUAGCUCUUUCUCAAAAUUAAGGGUAGUGGUGCAUGGCCGUUCUUAGUUCGUGGAAUGAUUUGUCUGGUUAAUUCCGAUAACGAACGUGACCUUAUCAUAUUAAAUAGAUACCUAUCAGCAGUUGAGAUGCCGAAGCCGUAGUAUUGGUAGCAAUAUUGGUGCUGCGGUGGAGUCUCACCUGAUAGUUUGUCUUUCGCUCCUUGUGGGUGUUUGACUUGAAUCUGCUUAAUAGGACAAUUUGUGUUUAGCAAAAUGAGAUAAGGCAAUAACAGGUCCGUGAUGCCCUUAGAUGUCCUGGGCUGCACGCGCGCUACAAUGAAGACAUCAACGUGUAUCCUAUAUCGAA